rnacentral:lncRNA from 1 species
CCCUCACACAGCAGCGGUGCCAGUGCCUCCUCCCUCCCUCCUCCUGGCUUCUCCCCACCCUGCCUAGAGGAGGAAGAGGAAGCAGUGCUCGAGCGACCACCAUUUUAAGCAGCCCCUCUCCGGAGCCUUUUUGUGCGCCGCUCAUUGUCCCUCCUCCUCCGCUGAUGCCAGCCCCUGCCACUCGCAAGACACAGGUAAGCAGCCACCGGGGCUCGUGGUGCUCUUGCAUCAUCCCCCCCAAUAUAGUCCAGCCCCCCACAAAGUCUGAGGGACAGUGGACCGGCCCCCUGCUGAAAAAGUUUGCUGACCCCUGUUUUACAGCAUCUGCAGCUGGCCAUACCAGCAGACAUAUGGAAACAAUAACAUUGUUGCACUGCCACCUGCUGGCCACACAGCCAGCCAGCUGGCCCUCAGAAGUAGCAGCGGAUAAAUGAUUAAACUUUUUGUUUCAUGACUGCCAUAGAGACCGUUAGUGGAGUUGGGCUCGCACAGUGAGGCUUUUGUCUCUCCUCUUCCCCACAGCAGGACUUUGUGCACCCUGAAUAGCAAUUUUGGAGGAACUGGGAACCCUCUGGAACUGCAAGGGGCUGCUUUUACAGGGAAGGGGGAUCAGCAGAAAUCUGAGAUACAUUACUCAAAAUGGGAAAUGUCAGCAACUGGGAUUUAUUUGCGUAUGAAAAACCACAGGGUGAAGUCAAAUUGCUACGUUAGCAGCGCUGGAGUGACCUCCCUGGGGCGCAAGCCCGGGCAGUGUGUAUGGAGGUCCUGGGCUGCCCAGACAACAAGACACUCCUGUCAGCCUCAUUGAUGUGGUCCGAAGGAAAGCAGAGAAACACAUUUGGCACCUGCUUGGCUGCAGGAGUUGCCGGUAGGAGGUGUACAAGGUGCUAUCUGACCGUCUUAGGGAUUCCACUCUGGAUUUGUGCAGGGCUUACUCCUUAGCAAGGCCGUCUAAAGCAUAUUUGGCGCCGUGGUUCAAAGAUCCCUCCAGCGCCCCCCCCCCGUUUCCCAGAGUUGUCGACCUUUCCCCGAGCCUCUGUGGGGAUCGCUCUCCUCCCGCGGAAGCUUGGGAAGGAAGCUGCACGCCUGCCAGCCAUAUGGUUGAUGGGGCAAGGCUGGCGGGCGUGCAGGGAAAGGGGAGGGCGUCGGCAAAGCCGCGCAGCUCCCCCACUUGCUGGGGCGUCCCUGAGAGGCCAGCGCCCUGGCGCAACGCGCCAGUAAGCCCAAUAGGAAAGACGGCUCUGCUCCUUAGCCCUUUCUCCUUCUGAAGACAUCCCACAAUGCAGCAGAGGUUUAAGAGCAGAGUUUCCCUUCUCCUAGAUGGGCUAUCUUCCCAGGGUGAUGAGCCCCAUCUGCCCCUCACUUCCAUCUAAAAACACGUGCAGAAACUGCCUUCUAGGACCCACUCUUGGUCUCGUCUGCUCAGUCCACCUGAAACUGUCUUCGUAAGGAAGGGAAGCCCACUUGUUGUUGUUUAGUCGUUUAGUCGUGUCCGACUCUCCGUGACUCCAUGGACCAGAGCAUGGCAGGCACUCCUGUCCUCCACUGCCUCCUGCAGUUUGGUCAAACUCAUGCUGGUAGCUUCCAGAACACUGUCCAACCAUCUCGUCCUCUGUCGUCCCCUUCUCCUUGCACCCUCCAUCUUUUCUGGUCUUUUCCAGGGAGUCUUCUCUUCUCAUGAGGUGGCCAAAGUAUUGGAGCCUCAGCUUCAGGAUCUGUCCUUCCAGUUAGCACUCAGGGCUGAUUUCCUUCAGAAUGGAUAGGUUUGAUCUUCUUGCAGUCCAUGGGACUCUCAAGAGUCUCCUCCAGCACCAUAAUUCAAAAGCAUCAAUUCUUCGGCGACCAGCCUUCUUUAUGGUCCAGCUCUCACUUCCAUACAUUACUACUGGGAAAACAUCACUAGGUAAAGGUAAAGGUAAAGGCACCCCUGACCAUUAGGUCCAGUCGUGACUGACUCUGGGGUUGCGGCGCUCAUCUCGCUUUAUUGGCCAAGGGAACCGGCAUACAGCUUCCAGGUCAUGUGGCCAGCAUGACUAAGCCGCUUCUGGCGAACCAGAGCAGUGCACGGAAACGCCGUUUACCUACCCACCGGAGCAGUACCUAUUUAUCUACUUGCACUUUUUGGUGUGCUUUCGAACUCCUAGGUUGGCAGGAGCAGGGAUCGAGCACUGGGAGCUCACCCCAUCGUGGGGAUUUGAACCGCCGACCUUCUGAUUGGCAAGUCCUAAACUCUGUGGUUUAACCCACAGCGCCACCCGUGUCCCUACUAGUGCACUAUUAUUGUGUUACAGUAUCCACCCAUGACCCUUGCCCCUACAAAGCUACCACUCCGGAGCGGUCCUAAGUCCAUGCCAGCAUUCAUUAACAGUGCCACACAGAACUUCCAAGUGAUACACCAUGUGUGCCUCUCUUCUCCUAUAACUUUCUAGAGGAAAACACAAAAUGGAGCUCUCACUCUGGCUGGCAGCAAGUAGUGGACCAGGCCCCUUUGCAGCCUAAAAACUCUGGGCGCAUGCCCACAUUGCCCAGCUCCUGGUUCGGCCUCUAACUGUUGCUAUGCCACAGCAAUAAUAUCUCCACCGUGCCAAAUGCUCCUCAGAAACCAAGCAGGUCUGCACAAGUUGAAAAUCAGUUCUGAGCCCACCUUCCUGCCCCACUGGCGGAGCCCUUUCCCCAUUGUUCGCCUUUGCUUUCCACAUGAGAAAUGUAUAAAAGUAAGUUAAGAGAAGGGCAUGUGAAUGGCUCAGCCUUUUAAGCGACGGCACCUCUGUCCCUUUCUCUUUAAAGUAGAUGCCAUCCCAGGCCCUGCAACUCUGGCACAAACACAUGACCCAGCUGCCUGAGUAGCUGGCAUUACAUGCUAAUCCCCUGGAAACAUUGAGGGUUCUCCUUCGCCUGCUCCUGUGAAUGAAAAGAGGCCUUUCCCUUUCAUGCUGUAAAGCUGCCCUCUGUUUGGCAGGCCACAAACACUGAUCUCUUGUCUGCUUUUCCUACCCCUACUUUUACCCAUUACAAAUUGAGGAACAUGCAUUCUUGUAGUUGGGUUGAAAAAUGUUCAACUAGGGUUGCCAUAUUUCAAAAAGGACUCCCCGAAAGUGGUUGAGCAAAAACAAAAACAUUUCCAUCUUUUGGAAAUUCCUCUCAGAAUCAUUUUGGGUGAUAAAUUCCCCCCUCCCACAAUUAAAUAUGAUGUUCAAAGAUGAUAAAGGGGAAUAGCAGAUCCUCCAAGUGAAGUGUCUCUAUUUUCCAGUGAAAGUCCCAGAUUUACAGAAGCUGUCCUGGUUUCUGAUUUGAUCCCAGAAUGUCCCCCUUUUCCUAAGGACAUCCCUAUUUUCAUCAGCGAAAUGUUAGUGGAUAUGGUAAAGCUAAAGGUAAAGGACCCCUGACAGUUAAGUCCAGUCGCGAAUGACUCUGGGGUUGCGGCGCUCAUCUCGCUUUACAGUGGUACCUCAGGUUACAUACGCUUCAGGUAACCCAGAAAUAGUACCUCGGGUUAGGAACUUUGCUUCAGGAUGAGAACAGAAAUCAUGCUCUGGCAGCGCAGCAGCAGCAGGAGGCCCCAUUAGCUAAAGUGGUGCUUCAGGUUAAGUGGUGCUUCAGUUUCAGGUUAAGAACGGACCUCCGGAAUGAAUUAAGUACUUAACCUGAGGUACCACUGUACUGGCUAAGGGAGCCGACAUUUGUUCACAGACUGUUUUUCCUGGUCAUUUGGCCAGCAUGACUAAGCCGCUCCUGGCGAAACCAGAGCAGCGCACGGAAACGCCGUUUACCUUCCCGCUGGAGUGGUACCUAUUUAUCUACUUACACUUUGAUGUGCUUUCGAACUGCUAGGUUGGCAGGAGCAGGAACCGAACAACAGGAGCUUACCCCGUCACAGGGAAUCGAACCGCCGACAUUCUGAUCGGCAAGCCCUAGGCUCAGUGGUUUACACCACAGCGCCACCCGCGUCCCUAGUGGAUAUGGUAGGAUGUCCCUAUUUUCAUUCGAUAAACGUUGAAAAGUAUCGAGUUAUGAGACCCCCAAGCCAUAUGAAGGCUGUAUAGGGAAGUUUUAAAAUGUUUAAUGUUUAAUCAUGUUUUUAUAUAUGUUUUAUACAUAUAUAUUUUAUAUAUGUAUGUAUAUGUAUAUGUUUUAUACAUCCCUAUUUUCAUCAGAGAAAUGUUGGAGGGUAUGGGAUAGGGUGCUAUAUGACUGAGAAUAAGCAGGAGAAAUGAAGCACAAAUUCCUACCACCUCUGACCAUUGGGCUAAACCAGCUGGGGAUGAUGGGAGUUGUAGUCCGACAACAUCUAGGGGCCCAAGGGUGAAGAACACUGACUUCAAGAAAGUAACACUGGAGUGAGUGUGGUGAAAGAAGUUAGGGCUGGAUGUACUGUCAGGGCUUAUUCCCAAGUAGGUGUGCAUAGGAUUGCAUUCUAAGAUGCAUGAGAGAGUUUAGUGUGCUGUGUUAUCUUAAAUGUCUAAUGCAGCAUACAAUACUCUGUUAUUGAUCCCCAGAUCCAUACCCUGCUCCACAAACUCCACAAACAGUUCUCUGUGGAAGGGGAGAAUGACUACAAAACAGUUUCAGUAUGUAUGAG